rnacentral:rRNA from 1 species
CUCUGGGAUAAGCCUGGGAAACUGGGUCUAAUACCGGAUAUGACCGCAUGCUGCAUGGUGUGUGGUGGGGGACUCGCAAGGGCCUCACGCUAUGGGAGCGGCCGAUGUCCGAUUAGCUUGUUGGCGGGGUAAUGGCCCACCAAGGCGACGAUCGGUAGCUGGUCUGAGAGGAUGAUCAGCCACACUGGGACUGAGACACGGCCCAG